GAUGAAGAACGUAGCGAAAUGCGAUAAGUAGUGUGAAUUGCAGAAUUCAGUGAAUCAUCGAAUCUUUGAACGCACAUUGCGCCCCUUGGUAUUCCAUGGGGCAUGCCUGUUCGAGCGUCAUUUCAACCAUCAAGCCCCCGGCUUGUGUUGGGGACCUGCGGCUGCCGCAGGCCCUGAAAACCAGUGGCGGGCUCGCUGUCACACCGAGCGUAGUAGAUUUUCAUCUCGCUCAGGGCGUGCUGCGGGUUCCGGCCGUAAAAAGCCUUAUUUACCCAAGGUUGACCUCGGAUCAGGUAGGAAGACCCGCUGAACUUAAGCAUAUCAAUAAGCGGAGGA
rnacentral:misc_RNA from 1 species